rnacentral:lncRNA from 1 species
CAAGUCAUCACUAUGAUUGGGAAAGAAGCCAAAAUUAUAAUAAAAUGAAAACCUGUGCAUCAAAUCUGAAGGAUGAGUAUAAAAUAGGAUAAACAGUCUUAAAUGAAGAAAUUCAAAAAUAGAGAAAGCAACAUCCUUCCCCAUGUACUGCAGUUGAAUUACUAAUCACUUAACGAAUGCUGAAGAAAGCAUUUUUAAAUUGUUUUUUCUGCAAUAUAUACAACCUACACUGAAAAAUCUUAAGCUAUAUGUACUUCAUUCAA